rnacentral:rRNA from 1 species
UGGGGAAUAUUGCACAAUGGGCGCAAGCCUGAUGCAGCCAUGCCGCGUGUAUGAAGAAGGCCUUCGGGUUGUAAAGUACUUUCAGCGGGGAGGAAGGGAGUAAAGUUAAUACCUUUGCUCAUUGACGUUACCCGCAGAAGAAGCACCGGCUAACUCCGUGCCAGCAGCCGCGGUAAUACGGAGGGUGCAAGCGUUAAUCGGAAUUACUGGGCGUAAAGCGCACGCAGGCGGUCUGUCAAGUCGGAUGUGAAAUCCCCGGGCUCAACCUGGGAACUGCAUUGGAAACUGGCAGGCUAGAGUCUUGUAGAGGGGGGUAGAAUUCCAGGUGUAGCGGUGAAAUGCGUAGAGAUCUGGAAGAACACCGGUGGCGAAGGCGGCCCCCUGGACAAAGACUGACGCUCAGGUGCGAAAGCGUGGGGAGCAAACAGG